rnacentral:rRNA from 1 species
UACGUAGGCAGCGAGCGUUGUUCGGAAUUACUGGGCGUAAAGAGUGUGUAGGCGGUGCUCUAAGUUCGGUGUGAAAUCUCCGUGGCUCAACCUGGGAGGGUGCGCCGGAAACUGGAGUGCUUGAGCGUGGGAGAGGGAAAGCGGAAUUACCUGGUGUAGCGGUGAAAUGCGUAGAUAUCAGGAGGAACACCUGUGGUGUAGACGGCUUUCUGGACCAUAGCUGACGCUGAGACACGAAAGCGUGGGUAGCAAACAGG